UACGUAGGGGGGCGAGCGUUGCCCGGAUUUAUUGGGCGUAAAGAGCUCGUAGGCGGUUUGGCAAGUCGGGUGUGAAAACUCCGGGCUCAACUCGGAGACGCCACUCGAUACUGCCAUGACUUGAGUCCGGUAGGGGAGUGCGGAAUUCCUGGUGUAGCGGUGAAAUGCGCAGAUAUCAGGAGGAACACCGGUGGCGAAGGCGGCACUCUGGGCCGGUACUGACGCUGAGGAGCGAAAGCGUGGGGAGCGAACAGG
rnacentral:rRNA from 1 species